AGUGAACGCUGGCGGCGCGCCUAAUACAUGCAAGUCGAAGGAAGUGGCGCACGGGUGCGUAAUAUAUAGCUAAUCUGCCCCUUGCUGGAGGACACCAGUUCGAAAUGACUGCUAAUACUCCAUAGCAAGGGAUGAGACUAUAUCGUAUCCGCUAGUCGGUGGGGUAACGGCCUACCGAGGCUACGACGCGUAACUGGACUGAGAGGAUGAUCAGUCAAAUUGGAACGGAGACACGGUCCAAACGCCUACGGGAGGCAACAGUAGUGAAGAUUGCGCAAGGGGGUAAACCCUGACGCAGCAACGCCGCGUGGAAGAUGACUCUUUUCGGAGCGUAAACUCCUUUUGUUAGGGAAGCGGUACCUAACUAAUAAGCACCGGCUAACUCCGGGCCAGCAGCCGCGGUAAUAC
rnacentral:rRNA from 1 species